rnacentral:lncRNA from 1 species
AUUGAGAGCCAGGCCUAGAGAUGGGAAGUUCUGGUUUCAAAUCUGGACUCAGACACUUCCUAGCUGUGUGACCCUGGACAAGUCAUUUAACCCCCAUUGUCUAGCCCUUACCACUCUUCUACCUUAGAACUAAUCACAGUACUGAUUCUAAGACAGAAGGUGAGGGUUUAGAAAAAAGAAUCAUAGAAUGUAAGAAAACAGAGCAUAAUAUGCCAGAACUAAGGUGAAACUUAGAACACAAAAUGGCACAACUGAGAGGCAGGGAGAAUAGAAUAUAGAGUAUAGAAGGGCAGAUCUAAGUGAGACCUGAGACAUUGAAUGUCAGAGCCAUGCAGGCCUUUCCAACAUAGACAAUGGCAGAGCUAAGAAGGGCCUUAGAACCAGAUCUCUAACUAGAAAUCAUUUCAUCUGGGGCAAAUCCAGGCUUUUGGGGGGUGGAGGAGGGCAAAAAAUGCAUAAAACACACCAAUAAUGUAUGUAAUCAUUCAGGGUGAUGGAUGCGUCUCACCCCAGAGAGAUGGGAUAUAGGGAGGAAGAGGUCUCAGCAAAACAACAGAACUUGCUACCACUUCAUAUCACUCAAGCUGGCAAACCUUACCCAUCCUCAACCCAGUCUAGACCCCAAGGAGAAGGAGAAGGAAAAGGAGAAGGAGAAGGAGAAGGAGAAGGAGAAGGAGAAGAAGGAGAAGGAUAUUCAUCAAACACUGAGUGUUACCCAACUUUUGUGGGUCCUCCUCCUGACACAGGAACCCUCAAAAACUGGCAGGGGCAGUGCCAAAAGGGAAGUGAACCACUGAGAGAACUAGAAGAGGAAGAAGGACCAGGACCAGCCUUACCUACAGCUGUGGUCAUCAUGGAAACAAACACUAUAGGAGAACCUAGCUGAGGCAGGUGAGCAAGGAGGAUUCAUGGGAAAGG